UCGACUGUUUAUCAAAAACAUAGCCAUGAGUAAAUAUUUAUGGUGUUAUCUGCCCAGUGAAAAUUUUAAACGGCCGCAGUACCUUGACUGUGCAAAGGUAGCAUAAUCACUUGACUUUUAAUUGGAGCCUAGUAUGAAAGAGAGAACGUAGACAACUUGUCUCAUUAACAGUAUUUUAAAAUUGCUGUAGGAGUGAAAAUACUCCUAAUAAUUAAAAAUAGACGAGAAGACCCUUAGAAUUUUAAAAAUAUAACUGAAAUAUCUGUUAAGAUUUUUUGUUGGGGCAACAAUAUUUCAAAAUAAAAUAAAUAUACAAGUGAGUAGAUAAGUCGAUUUAAUAAUUAUAGAAAAAUUACCUAAGGGAUAACAGCAUAAUUUUAAUUAAUAAGUUUGUGAC
rnacentral:rRNA from 1 species